rnacentral:rRNA from 1 species
CAAGUAAUUAAGUGCAUGUGGUGGAUGCCUUGGCAGUCAGAGGCGAUGAAAGACGUGAUAGCCUGCGAAAAGCUCCGGGGAGGCGGCAAAUAUCCUUUGAUCCGGAGAUGUCUGAAUGGGGGAACCCACCUACUUUAAGGUAGGUAUUGCAACAUGAAUACAUAGUGUUGCAAGGCGAACGAGGGGAAGUGAAACAUCUCAGUACCCUUAGGAAAAGAAAUCAAUUGAGAUUCCCUCAGUAGCGGCGAGCGAACGGGGAUCAGCCCAUUAAGUUAUGUGUGUUUUAGUGGAACGCUCUGGGAAGUGCGAACGUAGAGGGUGAUAUUCCCGUACACGAAAGGGCACACAUAAUGAUGACGAGUAGGGCGAGGCACGUGAAACCUUGUCUGAAUAUGGGGGGACCAUCCUCCAAGGCUAAAUACUCCUGACUGACCGAUAGUGAACCAGUACCGUGAGGGAAAGGCGAAAAGAACCCCUGUGAGGGGAGUGAAAUAGAUCCUGAAACCGCAUGCAUACAAGCAGUGGGAGCACCUUCGUGGUGUGACUGCGUACCUUUUGUAUAAUGGGUCAGCGACUUAUAUUCAGUAGCGAGGUUAACCGUAUAGGGGAGCCGUAGAGAAAUCGAGUCUUAAUAGGGCGUUUAGUUGCUGGGUAUAGACCCGAAACCAGGCGAUCUAUCCAUGAGCAGGUUGAAGGUUGGGUAACACUAACUGGAGGACCGAACCCACUGUCGUUGAAAAGCCAGGGGAUGACUUGUGGAUAGGGGUGAAAGGCUAAUCAAGCCUGGUGAUAGCUGGUUCUCCCCGAAAGCUAUUUAGGUAGCGCCUCGGACGAAUACCAUAGGGGGUAGAGCACUGUUUCGGCUAGGGGGUCAUCCCGACUUACCAAACCGAUGCAAACUCCGAAUACCUAUGAGUACUAUCCGGGAGACAGACUGCGGGUGCUAACGUCCGUAGUCAAGAGGAAAACAAUCCAGACCGCCAGCUAAGGCCCCAAAAUCAUAGUUAAGUGGGAAACGAUGUGGGAAGGCAUAGACAGCUAGGAGGUUGGCUUAGAAGCAGCCACCCUUUAAAGAAAGCGUAAUAGCUCACUAGUCGAGUCGGCCUGCGCGGAAGAUGUAACGGGGCUAAAACUAUGUGCCGAAGCUGCGGAUGUAUACUUUGUAUACGUGGUAGGGGAGCGUUCUGUAAGCCGAUGAAGGUGUGUUGAGAAGCAUGCUGGAGGUAUCAGAAGUGCGAAUGCUGACGUGAGUAACGACAAAACGGGUGAAAAACCCGUUCGCCGAAAGACCAAGGGUUCCAGUCCAACGUUAAUCGGGGCUGGGUGAGUCGACCCCUAAGGCGAGGCCGAAAGGCGUAGUCGAUGGGAAAAUGGUUAAUAUUCCAUUACUUCUGUGUAAUGCGAUGAGAGGACGGAGAAGGCUAAAUCAGCCUGGCGUUGGUUGUCCAGGUGAAAGGAUGUAGGCAUGUAUCUUAGGCAAAUCCGGGGUACUCUAUGCUGAGAUCUGAUAGCAAGCUGUACUUGUACAGCGAAGUGGUUGAUGCCAUGCUUCCAGGAAAAGUCUCUAAGCUUCAGUUACACAGGAAUCGUACCCGAAACCGACACAGGUGGUCAGGUCGAGUAGACCAAGGCGCUUGAGAGAACUCUGCUGAAGGAACUAGGCAAAAUGGUACCGUAACUUCGGGAGAAGGUACGCUGUUGUUGGUGAUGGAACUCGCUUCCUGAGCUGACGACAGCCGCAGAAACCAGGCCGCUGCAACUGUUUAUUAAAAACAUAGCACUCUGCAAACACGAAAGUGGACGUAUAGGGUGUGAUGCCUGCCCGGUGCUGGAAGGUUAAUUGAUGGGGUUAGCGUAAGCGAAGCUCUUGAUCGAAGCCCCAGUAAACGGCGGCCGUAACUAUAACGGUCCUAAGGUAGCGAAAUUCCUUGUCGGGUAAGUUCCGACCUGCACGAAUGGCAUAAUGAUGGCGGCGCUGUCUCCAGCAGAGGCUCAGUGAAAUCGAAAUCGCUGUGAAGAUGCAGUGUACCCGCGGCUAGACGGAAAGACCCCGUGAACCUUUACUGCAGCUUGACACUGAACUUUGACCUUACUUGUGUAGGAUAGGUGGGAGGCUUUGAAGCUGGAACGCUAGUUCCAGUGGAGCCGUCCUUGAAAUACCACCCUGGUAAUGUUGAGGUUCUAACUCUGUCCCGUGAUCCGGGACGAGGACCGUGUCUGGUGGGUAGUUUGACUGGGGCGGUCUCCUCCUAAAGAGUAACGGAGGAGUACGAAGGUGCGCUCAGCGUGGUCGGAAAUCACGCGUUGAGUAUAAAGGCAAAAGCGCGCUUAACUGCGAGACCCACAAGUCGAGCAGGUACGAAAGUAGGUCUUAGUGAUCCGGUGGUUCUGUAUGGAAGGGCCAUCGCUCAACGGAUAAAAGGUACUCUGGGGAUAACAGGCUGAUACCGCCCAAGAGUUCAUAUCGACGGCGGUGUUUGGCACCUCGAUGUCGGCUCAUCUCAUCCUGGGGCUGAAGCAGGUCCCAAGGGUAUGGCUGUUCGCCAUUUAAAGAGGUACGCGAGCUGGGUUUAGAACGUCGUGAGACAGUUCGGUCCCUAUCUACCGUGGGCGCUGGAAAUUUGAGAGGAUCUGCUCCUAGUACGAGAGGACCAGAGUGGACGAACCUCUGGUGUACCGGUUGUGACGCCAGUCGCAUCGCCGGGUAGCUAUGUUCGGAAGGGAUAACCGCUGAAAGCAUCUAAGCGGGAAGCCUACCUCAAGAUAAGAUUUCCCUAGGACUUUAUGUCCUCUAAAGAGCCGUUCGAGACUAGGACGUUGAUAGGUUGGAUGUGGAAGCAUAGUGAUAUGUGAAGCUGACCAAUACUAAUUGCUCGUGAGGCUUGACUA